rnacentral:lncRNA from 1 species
GAGCCUGGGGCACGCCCACCCCUUCCACGCACGCACGCACGCACGCACGGACGCACGCACGCAGGCACACGCCGCCCUGGGCGCGCGGGCGGACGGCGGUGCGGUGGGCCGGGACGCGCAUGCUCGCGGGGGCCGAGCCUCCGGGGCCUUCCGGCGGGGAGUGCGGGGGCGCCUGGCGGGCACGGGCUCGGGUGCGGAGAGCUACGAGGCCGAACUGGGGCUUCCGUGGGUCCCGGAGUGAACGUCCGCCGGACUAUCCGGCGGUCAGCGAAUCCUAGAGCAGAGGGGACAAAGGAGGUAACACUAUGGUAGAGGAAGCUGAGACUUGCCUGUAAGCUCUCCAGUCCUCAGUGGUAAGGAAGAGACUACAGCCUUUGGACCCGGGAAACCAAGAUGCGUGUGGAUGCCCAUCCGGAGCUCUUUCCAGGAUCUUGGACUCAAAACCCGUUUAAGCAUCCACGAGCUGUGCAGGGGGCUGCUCUGUGUGCCAGACUUCCUUCGCCUUAACGGAUAUUCUUCUUUAUAUCCAAGAGGAGAUCUCUUGCAGGUUUGCUCUUAUUUCCAAGACUUUAUAUCCAAGAGGAGAUCUCUUGCAGUUUUGCUCUUAUUUCCAAGAAUAAAUGGUACGGGUUUGCACAUACCUAC